rnacentral:rRNA from 1 species
UACGUAGGGUGCGAGCGUUAAUCGGAAUUACUGGGCGUAAAGCGUGCGCAGGCGGUUUUGUAAGUCUGUCGUGAAAUCCCCGGGCUUAACCUGGGAAUUGCGAUGGAGACUGCAAGGCUAGAAUCUGGCAGAGGGGGGUAGAAUUCCACGUGUAGCAGUGAAAUGCGUAGAUAUGCGGAGGAACACCGAUGGCGAAGGCAAUCCCCUGGGCCUGCACUGACGCUCAUGCACGAAAGCGUGGGGAGCAAACAGG